GCUGGCGGCACGCCUAAUACAUGCAAGUCGAACGGGGUAGCAAUACCUAGUGGCAGACGGGUGAGUAACAUGUGGGUACCUUCCCUUUGGUGAGGAAUAACACGAGGAAACUUGUGCUAAUACCUCAUAAGUCUUUACGGAGAAAGCUUUAUGCGCCGAUGGAUGGGCCCGCACUUGAUUAGUUAGUUGGUAAGGUAAAAGCUUACCAAGACUUUGAUCAAUAGCUGAUUUGAGAGGAUGAUCAGCCACAUUGGGACUGAGACACGGCCCAAACUCCUACGGGAGGCAGCAGUAGGGAAUCUUGCACAAUGGAGGAAACUCUGAUGCAGCGAUGCCGCGUGAGUGAAGAAGGCCCUUGGGUUGUAAAGCUCUUUCGUCGGGGAAGAAAAUGACUGUACCCGAAUAAGAAGGUCCGGCUAACUUCGUGCCAGCAGCCGCGGUAAUACGAAGGGACCUAGCGUAGUUCGGAAUUACUGGGCUUAAAGAGUUCGUAGGUGGUUAAAAAAGUUGGUGGUGAAAUCCCAGAGCUUAACUCUGGAACUGCCAUCAAAACUUUUUAGCUAGAGUAUGAUAGAGGAAAGCAGAAUUUCUAGUGUAGAGGUGAAAUUCGUAGAUAUUAGAAAGAAUACCGAUUGCGAAGGCAGCUUUCUGGAUCAUUACUGACACUGAGGAACGAAAGCAUGGGUAGCGAAGAGGAUUAGAUACCCUCGUAGUCCAUGCCGUAAACGAUGUGUGUUAGAUGUUGGAAUUUUUUUUCAGUAUCGCAGCGAAAGCGUUAAACACACCGCCUGGGGAGUACGACC
rnacentral:rRNA from 1 species